GAAAUGCGAUAAGUAAUGUGAAUUGCAGAAUUCAGUGAAUCAUCGAAUCUUUGAACGCACAUUGCGCCCGCCAGUAUUCUGGCGGGCAUGCCUGUUCGAGCGUCAUUACAACCCUCAGGCCCCCGGGCCUGGCGUUGGGGAUCGGCGGAAGCCCCCUGCGGGCACAACGCCGUCCCCCAAAUACAGUGGCGGUCCCGCCGCAGCUUCCAUUGCGUAGUAGCUAACACCUCGCAACUGGAGAGCGGCGCGGCCACGCCGUAAAACACCCAACUUCUGAAUGUUGACCUCGAAUCAGGUAGGAAUACCCGCUGAAGUUAAGC
rnacentral:misc_RNA from 1 species